rnacentral:tRNA from 1 species
GCCGCCGUAGCUCAGUUGGUAGAGCACCUCGCUGUUAGGGUGCGCAGGUGACCUGCGUGCCGCAGACACGAGGUUGUCCCAGGUUCGAGUCCUGGCGGUGGCG